CCCGUUCAAAGUUGAUUAGCAUCCCCUGGGGGGAGGAAGAUAUAGGUUUCUAUAGCAUACCUUUGGGGUGGCACCAUUAAAUGGCUUUCCUUGGAACUCCUUUGAUGGAAGCGACACCCACAUACCUCAUGUGUCAAGGUCACGGAGCACGUCCCCCUACCUUGAGGUAGGAAUUUCGAGCAACUCCGCAAACACGUUGAGUGGCAAUAAAAACUGCUUGAAAGCGCCACGGAAAUGGCGCAUUAGUGUUUGCCACUUAAUGUGGCAAUCGUCCCCCUGCCCCUCAGUGGUAACUUGUUGAGCCGACACCCUUUAUCAACACGCAAUAUGCAAAUUUUGGCCAGCGCCUGGCGUUUUUGUCACUACAAUUUCCCCUCAAUUAGGAUGAAUGAAUAUGAAUAUGUGUCUCUGAUCACUGGGAGAAAAAUUGAGAUUCAUGAAAGCACUCACCCUUGGGCGGCGAUGAAUGGUAGUAGAGUCCUUGGAAUCUUCUCCGUCGCUUUGGUGGCAU